CCUUCAGCAACCAUAAAAACAAAUACUACAUACUGAGCAUUCAUCUAAAUCCUCCAGCGUGGGUGUUAUUUCCAGGGCAUCAUCCUACCCAAACAUGGCCACGAUUUGCAAGGUGAAGGCUGAUAAAUAUUUACAGAUACCAUUGACAAGCUCUUGCCAAAGAGACCGGACAAGACUUUCCUUGGACCAUUUAUGGGUUACAGAGUAUGGAUGAAUAAAAGAGAGCUUUAACCUUCUAUAGCAGUAUAUCCCAACCAGAAAUGCCUCCAGCUGUUGC